GCCCUGGCGCAUGAUAGAUGGGCUGUGUUCCAAUAGUCACCGUAGACGCCAAAGUAGACGGCUAAGCGGACAACGGCCAUCUUGAAUCUCGUUCCAUUUCU
rnacentral:lncRNA from 1 species